rnacentral:rRNA from 1 species
UACAGAGGUCUCAAGCGUUGCUCGGAAUGACUGGGCGUAAAGGGCGCGUAGGCGGAGUGCUUUGUCGGGCGUGAAAUUCCAGGGCUCAACCUUGGGGCUGCGUUCGAGACGGGUGCUCUUGAGUUUGGAAGAGGGUCGUGGAAUUCCCAGUGUAGAGGUGAAAUUCGUAGAUAUUGGGAAGAACACCGGUGGCGAAGGCGGCGACCUGGUCCAAGACUGACGCUGAGGCGCGAAAGCGUGGGGAGCAAACAGG